CGUGUCUCAGUGUUUGCAGAUGACACAAAACUCUGUAAAGUAAUGUCAGUAGGACAUUGCUUUGUUGCAGUGGAAUUUAGAUACAUGGGGGAAAUGGCACUGAAAUGGCAAAUGAAAAUAUGUUACCGGGGAACACUGUAGAAGCCACACACAGAGAGAUCUAUUCAGGAAGUAAAAGGUCUUUAUUGUUACCGAUCGGGUCUCAGCUGAACUCCUGUUCCAAAAUGUCUGAGCCCUGAACACAUGGGGAAGAAGCUUUUUAUUAACUGUGCAUCCCCCACUCAUACCCUUAGACCAACCAACAAACAGGAUAUACAGGAUCACCUUACAUGGGUAGGCAGCAUGGCUCAUUAAGACAAUGGAAUGUGAUUUCAGUUAUUGCACAUGUUCUUGCACAAGCCCCUUUGCGCUUCUGAUACACAAUAAUUCCAGAUGCAUCACUAACCAUAAUUUGCCAACACCACUCAAGUAACCACGAAACAGGACAAACCAUGUGAGCAUUCUAGCUCAAUUUUACAACCUCUCAACACUCGUUGACCUAAUUACCAAUGAUCUCUCUUUGGGCUAGGGGUUCGUAUCUCCAGAUGGCCAUUACAUGUGCUGCUGUCUUCCUUUCUAUAGUACUUUCAAUAAUACUGCGUAUAGAUCAAAUUACUAAUGGGAUCCGGCAGGGCAGGAAGAGGCAUAGGAAAAUAAUUUCAUACCAGCUCCCAAAUCAACUACUUGGAUUAUACCCGUUCCAAAUCUGAGUGGGUACGUGCAUCAGUUUAACCAUGUGGCUGGUGAGAUCAACCACAGCCUGCCCUUCAUCAUCUAUAUGCAGACAGCAAUUACUGAGAUUAAACUUUCCGCACACACCUCCUUCUACUGCUAGUAAAUAAUCAAGAGCCAGUCUAUUUUGAUAAAUGGCUGACCUCAUAUUCUGUUUUGCCAAGGGUUGGGUGCUUCAGCAGUCUCAUUGGUUAUAAUCUCAACCACCGCCUGUAAUCUUAUGAUGCGGUUGAGCAUAUGUAUGGGGGUUCGAUAACCAUAAGUGCCAUCUUCAGCCCAGGUAGCAGGUCCAUAAUAAUUAAUAAUUCGCUGAGGUGGCCAUUCAUCAUCUUCCCAAUUACCUACGUUUAAUGAUGCUCGUUUCUUUCUAUGAUUUACAUAAACCUUAACUCCCAAGGUCUCUCCCGUUUUGAUUGGUAACAAGAAGAAGGAUGAUUUGAGCAUACCUAGCACACAUGCCCCCUCCCAAUCUUGUGGUAAUGCUGAGUAUGCUUUCUUACCACAAAUCCAGUAUAGAUUCUCUGGGGCUCUCCAGUUAGAUGUAGCCGAUAGAUCAAACCAUACCUCUCUUAAAUUGGUGUAAUUAGCAAAAGGAUUAGUAGGCUCUGAGACAUUUGAAGCCGACCACCAAGUAGUAUUCUGGGUACUAGCAUUAUAGGCCUUCUGUCCUAAACAAGUCAACUCGCCAACAGGUGUAUUAUACAUUGGGCCUCCACUAGCUAAACAUACAUGACCUAUUAGAGAUGUUUUUAAUUGCCAUUCCGAUUUUUCCCGUGUACUUACUUGAUGGCUAGAUUGGGAAGGCAUCUGUUGCUCAUUUGUCUCAGAACCUGGGUACCAUACUUCUCUUGCCUCCCAUGGCCAUUGAUCUCCCAUGUUUGUACUUCCACAUACAAAGCAGUUAGUUAUAUUAAGACUACUUGCAAUACUCUAAGCCAAAUCAAUAAAUAGGUUUUUAACGUUGUGGGGAACUUUAUCCUCAAUACACAUUUCCUCAUAAAAGGAAUGGAAUACCUGAUGAGUUUGAGCAUUCAUGGUCUCGGUUUCAAGGCCUACAUAUAUUAUGGCUCCUGGAUCUGUUCCUGUACCGUAUAUUUGGAACCAAAAAAGAUUCUCAAACGUAUAAAUGAACUGCUACGGAUUGUAAAUUGUCAUGUGUACUGGAUAACACUCCAUCGUUUUACAAUAAGAUGUAGUAGGCAACCUUUGGAUCAUAUCUUGGUCUACUGUCUUUCCCCAGGUCGCCCAACCUACACAUGACCAAUAUGGGCAGAAGUUGAAGUCCGUAUUUGGACAAUCAGCAUCCGUAGAUCUUUUACUAGGGCAUAAAUAUUUGUCAUUGAACACAUAAGUUCGUUCCCAUUUAAGGUUACCACACACAUUCCAAGGUUUUCUACUACCGGAAAUCGCCUUGCAUGCAUCAAAUAGUAGGAUGCCAGUGGAAUGAAUGGUACUUAGCAAAGUUCUAUUUAUCAAUGUCCCCUGAGAGUGAGCAUUUUGAAUAACCAACAAGAUUGUACGGGGUGGGAAUUGGGGGGUUAAAACACUUAGGUUCACCUGAUAUUGGUUGGCACACACUAUAAUCAGUGUCUAAGUACUGUGAUAAAGUGAAGGCAGAGAGGCCUAUAACAUUUAACCCUAGGGGGAGUAUGUGUAGUAUAUGUUGUAGGCAACACAAACCAAAGCUUAGUUAUGGGCCCCUGGGGUGGAGCAUUUGAAGAGCAGGGUGGGCCAAUGCUCCACUGCGCAGUUUGCAUACAACUGGGAGAAAUAAGAUCCAAGCCAGAGUUUUAAUCUGUCUCCAACCCACUACUCAGCUGCAGAUAAUCAGCUGCAGCAGUGGGAAUAAACCCCUCCCUGCUAGGCAGAUAAAGAGGGAUUGCUGGCUUCCUCCCUGGAAGCAGUUAGGAGAGACACUGUUCUCUCCUGUGAGAGAGUCAAGGAGACUGGGCACUGGGAGUGCAGAAAGGAAAGCAGUUAAGGCUGUCUUGGAGCACUGGGAGUGCAGAAGGCUGGCUUGGAGCACUGGGAGUACAGAAAGAAAAGCAAUUAAGACGGGCUUGGAGCACUGGGAGUGCAGAAAGGAAAGCAGCAUGCUAGCUGAGAGCACUGGAGUGCAGAAAGGAGAGCAGAGUGUUGCUAUCUAAUAAGGUUGGUGCAACCCAACAAUAUGUUUUUGUUAGUUUAGUCCUGAUAGAGAGGGAUAUUAAAGGGGAUAUUAAAAGUGAGUCAGUGCUCAGACGAGCUAGGUUUUUGUUUAAAGGGGAAACCUGUUAUAUUUAUGUUUUAGUUGUGUUGCUGUGUGGGCUUGCCAAUAAAAUUGCCUGGAUAAUAUGAAAAGACUGUGCUUGUUGUUUACCCUAGAGGACCGUGCUAUCUGCAAACAAGGAUCACAGUACCUACACCAAGACACAGAUCCUUUACAUUCGUACUGCGAGUGCCAAAUAAGGGUUUGAGAUAUCUGACUACCGGUUUAAGUAAAAUAAGAAAUCACCUUAAGAAUAAAGUGUGUGAACUCCAGGAGCUGGCUAGUGACUAAUGGCUAAAAAUGUGGUAAAACCUAAUAGG
rnacentral:lncRNA from 1 species